UUUUUUUAAGAGAAGAUGAUUUGAUGGAGAUGAGUGCCUCGGAACCAGUGCCAGAUAAUGGGGAAGGAGACCGAGAAUAAGCAAUGCCAGAAAACAAGUUGACGUUAGACUAUCUGGCAGAAGGGUUCUGAUUGUUUAAGACUGCUUUGGUUUUCUACAACAUGGAUCCUUUUGUGAAACAGGCACUGAAACUAAAGCAGAUGUUCGAAAAAGUAUUGGUACCAUAGAGAAACAGUUUUAAAGAAAUGAAAAAAAAGUCACACAGAAAUUAUGAUGUAAUUCCAUAAAGUCACAUCAAGUGUGCUUGCCUCUCCUCUUCCACCUCUGCCACUCCUGAGACAGCAAGACCAACCCUUCUUCUUCCUCCUCUGAGCUCAGCAGCCUACUCAUUGUGAAGAUGAUGAGGAUGAAGACCUUUAUGAUGUCACUUUCACUUAAUGAAUAGUAAUAACCAUCAUGCUGUACAGUCAAUAAAUUAUGUACAUGUCUUCAUAUGAAAUCCCAAGAACUGCAGGACAAGAACUGUGAGAGGUCUUUCUGUGUCACCAUUACCAGCAUCACUCAAGUGCUCACCAUGGAGAACACUGCAUAGGAGACUGGUAUGGAGGUGGACAGCCCACCCUCACAUAGGCAUAAGCGGCCCUGCUGCUUCUAAGUACACCUGCAGACUAUCUGCCAAGGACUGUCUGGCUGGAAACUUGGUUAUUUGCUGCUACUCUCCCUAUUUAAUGCUUUAAUCCAUAUAUAAAUAUCUCUUCCCCCCAAAAAACAUCCACAUCUCUAUGAACACAGUGAUUAGCAUAAAAUUCAGAGGUUGAAAACCUGUUGAAAUCUAAGCGAGCUUUCCAGGCCUGGCUUGUACAACAUACCUGUGGAUUUUAAUGAUUGUAACGACACGCUUUGCAAACCUUUUGCCCAAAUCUCCAUUUGUUUUCAAAUGACACCUGUGAUGCAGCACUUUCAGUACUGAAGCAGCUCAGAAAAGGUGGUUAUCACCGGCCUACCACGGCUGUUCCUCCUCGUACUAAGCCUCAAGGGUGGAUGGAGGGGGCCGUGGGAAGCCCCGGAAACGCUGCCAGACGCGUGAAAACCGGGAUUAUGACCACAGUCGCCGCCAGAGUUCACUAUUUACCAAGCUCCUGCAGAGAUGCACUGACAGGUGCUUCCGUUUUCACGGGUUUCCACCCUCUGGGUGUACACCUGGAUCACCUGGGGAGCUUUAAAAGAAAAAAAUCCGUAGCCCGAAGCCCGCGCCCUGGCCGUGGCGAGGCGGCUGAUCUCGGCAGGGCUGGGCCGGGGCGUCGUUACGGCCCCGAGGCCCCGGUGCUAAGGUGCUCGCAACCCCUUCGGGGUCGAUUACAGACGCCCGUGACAGUCCGACGGAAGCUAGGGACCCCCUCCGUAAAAUAAAACACGAAUAUUUAAGUUCA